UUGGCAGCCCUGAGCCACUGACGCAAGGCCACGUCCGUAAACAAGAUGACUCUCUCCUGAGUUGGCUCCGCUAUUUUUGUGCUCCAGGACCGCUUAUUUGUGGGGACAGUGCAGGGCUCAGGGAAUUGCAGUGGCAAGUCCUGCGUCGAGUGCUUCCUUUGGGCACAGUCGCGUGCUUCCUUACGUCUCUGGUUGGCACAGUAAAGGACAUCAGUAUAAAAGAAGGGGGGCGUGGCCAUACGGCCCGGUAGCCUUUUUGAUAUUUCUGUGAAACCUAGCCAUGGUGAAGGACAGGGAAAACUGUGCAAAGAAAUCUUGUGGAGAUUGUGACACGGGAACAAUAUCAUACUCAAACAAAGUCUUAAAAAAACCCAAUUUGUGUUUUGAGUAUCUUUUGUGUCACGGUGUACUAAACAAUAUGCUACAGUGUAAAAAGUGUGUGCCGGCUUUACUGCGACUUAUGUAUUUUUAAGUGUGGGUAUCCAGAGGCCAACAAAUGGAUGCACCCUUUUUCUCCUAGCUGUGCUUCAGCUCUCCCCUCCAGACAA